UUGGACCUGAUAUCAGACAAGACUACCCUGC
rnacentral:rRNA from 1 species